ACUGGCUUCAGCAGCACAUACUAAAACUGGACAGAUACAGAGAUUAGCGUGGCCCCAGGUGCAGGGAUGACAGGCAAAUUUUGUGACAUGUUCCCUAUUUUU